rnacentral:rRNA from 1 species
GACGAACGCUGGCGGCAUGCCUAACACAUGCAAGUCGAACGGAGAUUAUUUCGGUACUCUUAGUGGCGAACGGGUGAGUAACGCGUGGGCAACCUGCCCUCUAGAUGGGGACAACAUCCCGAAAGGGGUGCUAAUACCGAAUGUGACAGCAAUCUCGCAUGAGGAUGCUGUGAAAGAUGGCCUCUAUUUAUAAGCUAUCGCUAGAGGAUGGGCCUGCGUCUGAUUAGCUAGUUGGUGGGUAACGGCCUACCAAGGCGAUGAUCAGUAGCCGGUCUGAGAGGAUGAACGGCCACAUUGGGACUGAGACACGGCCCAGACUCCUACGGGAGGCAGCAGUGGGGAAUCUUCCGCAAUGGGCGAAAGCCUGACGGAGCAAUGCCGCGUGAGUGAUGAAGGAAUUCGUUCCGUAAAGCUCUUUUGCUUAUGACGAAUGUGCAGAUUGUGAACAAUGAUCUGUAAUGACGGUAGUAAACGAAUAAGCCACGGCUAACUACGUG